UACGGAGGGAGCUAGCGUUGUUCGGAAUUACUGGGCGUAAAGCGCACGUAGGCGGCGAUUCAAGUCAGAGGUGAAAGCCCGGGGCUCAACCCCGGAACUGCCUUUGAAACUAGGUCGCUAGAAUCCUGGAGAGGCGGGUGGAAUUCCGAGUGUAGAGGUGAAAUUCGUAGAUAUUCGGAAGAACACCAGUGGCGAAGGCGGCCCGCUGGACAGGUAUUGACGCUGAGGUGCGAAAGCGUGGGGAGCAAACAGG
rnacentral:rRNA from 1 species